rnacentral:lncRNA from 1 species
GCCAUUUUGAAUUGCCAAGGCUGGAGACCAAAAAUAUUGAGAAGUCUUAAAACAAUGGCCCCUUAAAUUUGUACAUUUGACAAAGAGGAGAGGGUGCUACCAUUUACUGAGCACCUACUCUGUGCAAAACUCUUUCAAGUGGUCACUUCUCUUAGUCCUCACAGUAGUCCCAUGAAGGAGGACGUUAUCUUAGCCCAUUUUACAGAUGAGAAACCUGGGUCUCAGAGAUACUAAUGAAAGUAACCCAGGGCCAGCAAGGAGUGGACACUGGGUCUGAAUUCACAUUGAACUGGUUCCAAAACCCUGCCUUUCUGAACUACAGCGCCCCUCCAGAGAGCAUGUUCAUGUUCAUUAUGGUGGGCGGCCUUGACUCAUACUUGACAUGGAUGUCCCAGAGAUUCCCUACACACAGCUUUCAAUACUGAAGAUGGAGCUCUCUGUCCCCGGGUGGGGCCGCAGCAUCACAGUGCCUGUGGGAAGGCUGGGCAGACUGAAAUAAAAGGGAUUUCUGCCUGCUCCUUCUCUUACACUAAGAUGCAGAACCUGAUGCCCAGCAAAGGGGAAAGGAUAGCAGGAGCCUUGAUCCACCCAGGAAGAGGUGCCAGCUGGAUCAGCAAGAGGCUGGUGGAGAACAAGAAGCUGCUAUGAACCAAUCUUUAGAAAACAGCAGGAUCUCCGAGGAGAGAAAGAAUUUCUCUCCAGCCAAAAGCUUCAUGAGAUGGAAGGGGAUAUCCUAUCUCCUAUAUUGUAUCCUCAUCAUGGUCUCAAUAAACCCACUUGGAAGAUGCCCAUGCAUGAGCGUCGACGGUGACUUCCCGAGGCUGGACGGCGAUCCUUCCCACUGCAGAAGGCGGGGUGCUGAGCACUGUGCUGGGGCUUUCUGUGCACCAUCUUCAUUUGGUGCAUUUUGAGGGGUCAUUCAUUCUAUCAACAUCUCAUUAUAGAAGGCAGAGUUCAGAGAAAUUAGGAUGGCUGCCCAAGGUCACCUAACUACUCUGAGAAAGAGCUGACAUUCAAAUCUAGGCCCCUGAGCCUGAGCUUUCCACAUGACACUGUAGCAUCUUUCAACAAUCAGAGGACAAUCUAGGCAAGUCAAUUAUUGUAGGUAUGUGGCUCCCCA